rnacentral:rRNA from 1 species
UACGUAGGGUGCAAGCGUUAUCCGGAAUUACUGGGCGUAAAGGGUGCGUAGGCGGUCUUUCAAGCCAGAAGUGAAAGGCUACGGCUCAACCGUAGUAAGCUUUUGGAACUGUAGGACUUGAGUGCAGGAGAGGAGAGUGGAAUUCCUAGUGUAGCGGUGAAAUGCGUAGAUAUUAGGAGGAACACCAGUAGCGAAGGCGGCUCUCUGGACUGUAACUGACGCUGAGGCACGAAAGCGUGGGGAGCGAACAGG